GGGCCUGUAGCUCAGUCGGUUAGAGCGCACGGCUGAUAACCGUGAGGUUCGCCAGUUCAAAUCUGGCCAGGCCCA
rnacentral:tRNA from 2 species